UUUCGACCUGAACUCAGACGUGACUACCCGCUGAACUUAAGCAUAUCAUUUAGCGGAGGA
rnacentral:rRNA from 1 species